CUAUAAUGCAAGUCGAGCGGACAGAUGGGAGCUUGCUCCCUGAUGUUAGCGGCGGACGGGUGAGUAACACGUGGGUAACCUGCCUGUAAGACUGGGAUAACUCCGGGAAACCGGGGCUAAUACCGGAUGGUUGUUUGAACCGCAUGGUUCAGACAUAAAAGGUGGCUUCGGCUACCACUUACAGAUGGACCCGCGGCGCAUUAGCUAGUUGGUGAGGUAACGGCUCACCAAGGCGACGAUGCGUAGCCGACCUGAGAGGGUGAUCGGCCACACUGGGACUGAGACACGGCCCAGACUCCUACGGGAGGCAGCAGUAGGGAAUCUUCCGCAAUGGACGAAAGUCUGACGGAGCAACGCCGCGUGAGUGAUGAAGGUUUUCGGAUCGUAAAGCUCUGUUGUUAGGGAAGAACAAGUGCCGUUCAAAUAGGGCGGCACCUUGACGGUACCUAACCAGAAAGCCACGGCUAACUACGUGCCAGCAGCCGCGGUAAUACGUAGGUGGCAAGCGUUGUCCGGAAUUAUUGGGCGUAAAGGGCUCGCAGGCGGUUUCUUAAGUCUGAUGUGAAAGCCCCCGGCUCAACCGGGGAGGGUCAUUGGAAACUGGGGAACUUGAGUGCAGAAGAGGAGAGUGGAAUUCCACGUGUAGCGGUGAAAUGCGUAGAGAUGUGGAGGAACACCAGUGGCGAAGGCGACUCUCUGGUCUGUAACUGACGCUGAGGAGCGAAAGCGUGGGGAGCGAACAGGAUUAGAUACCCUGGUAGUCCACGCCGUAACGAUGAGUGCUAAGUGUUAGGGGGUUUCCGCCCCUUAGUGCUGCAGCUAACGCAUUAAGCACUCCGCCUGGGGAGUACGGUCGCAAGACUGAAACUCAAAGGAAUUGACGGGGGCCCGCACAAGCGGUGGAGCAUGUGGUUUAAUUCGAAGCAACGCGAAGAACCUUACCAGGUCUUGACAUCCUCUGACAUCCUAGAGAUAGGACGUCCCCUUCGGGGGCAGAGUGACAGUGUGCAUGAUUGUCGUCAGCUCGUGUCGUGAGAUGUGGGUUAGUCCCGCACGAGCGCACCC
rnacentral:rRNA from 1 species